GAUGAACGCUGGCGGCGUGCCUAAUACAUGCAAGUCGAGCGAACAGACGAGGAGCUUGCUCCUCUGACGUUAGCGGCGGACGGGUGAGUAACACGUGGAUAACUUACCUAUAAGACUGGGAUAACUUCGGGAAACCGGAGCUAAUACCGGAUAAUAUAUUGAACCGCAUGGUUCAAUAGUGAAAGACGGUUUUGCUGUCACUUAUAGAUGGAUCCGCGCCGCAUUAGCUAGUUGGUAAGGUAACGGCUUACCAAGGCAACGAUGCGUAGCCGACCUGAGAGGGUGAUCGGCCACACUGGAACUGAGACACGGUCCAGACUCCUACGGGAGGCAGCAGUAGGGAAUCUUCCGCAAUGGGCGAAAGCCUGACGGAGCAACGCCGCGUGAGUGAUGAAGGUCUUCGGAUCGUAAAACUCUGUUAUUAGGGAAGAACAAAUGUGUAAGUAACUAUGCACGUCUUGACGGUGCCUAAUCAGAAAGCCACGGCUAACUACGUG
rnacentral:rRNA from 1 species